rnacentral:lncRNA from 1 species
CUCCUUCUCGGCCCCAAACAGAAGCUGGAAAAAUGGGUAUGGCAGCGGACGUUUGGCCCGUUUUGGCCGCCUUCCCGAGCUCGGAUGCUCGGCCCGCUUUGAGGAAAGUCGAUCCCCGCGUCGUCCCCGUCGUUUUGGUCCGCUCGGCUCGCUAAUCCGGUGAGUUUAACUCACUAAACCUUGAUUAGACGGUUAAUGAUGCCCUAAGUGUGCUUAGCCUAAGUUAAGUAAGCUUAGUUGGUUGAAUUAGUUUAUUUGGUUGAUGAUUAGAUUAUGGUGUUUAAUUAAGUUAAAGUGUAUUUAGUUUAAAGUUAAGUAUGUUUAUUUUUAAUAUAAAGCCUUGAUGUGACAUAAUAGGGUUUUAAUUUUGAAUUAUUUAAUUGCUUCGAAAUUCUGGAAAUUUAUAAUAUUAUAUUAAUUCCGAAAUGAUUAAAUAUUAUUACAUAAAAAAAAAACGGAAAAAUUAUUUUGGUCCCGGUUGCUCAGAAUUUCGUGCCGCUCGCUGCUGUGUAGUCAGAUUUUGAAAUUGAAGAUUGGAUAUUAUAAAUUGAGCGUAGAUCAUGAAAAAUAUGAAUAUUAUUAUUUAAUUAUUUUCGAAAUAAAUUUAAUUAUUUAAUAAAUUCCGAAAAUUUUGUCAGGACCUUAAACUCUCAGAAUUUCGUGCCGAUCGCUGCUGUGCAUUUAGAAUUUGAUAUUGAUGAUUGGUUGUGACAAAUUGAGUGUGAUUGCGAUAUAUAUGGAUUCUUUAUAAAAUUCUAAGUGUGGAAAUUGAGGGGCGAUAGGCCGUGAAAUACCACCUAUUAGAGGUCGUGCCCGAUGAGGCCGUGAUAUACCACCUACUAGAGGUCGUGCCCAGUGAGGCCGUGAUGAACCACCUAUGAGAGGUCGUGCCCAGUGAGGCCGUGAUGAACCACCUAUGAGAGGUCGUGCCCAGUGGGGCCGUGAUAUGCCACCUAUUAAAGGUCGCGCCCAAUGGGGCGGUGAUAUGCCACCUAUUAGAGGUCGCGCCCAAUGGGGCUGUGAAUUGCCACCUAUUAAAGGUCGCGCCGAGUGGGGCCGUGAUGCCACUGAUUCUAAAUUUGCCGAGUAGGGCCGUGAUUGUGAGCAAUGAUUGAUUUGUUGGAAUGACAUGUAAUCGGCCGAGUCGAUUGAUCGCUGAGACGAUCCAAGUGGUUAAAUUGUUUUGAUAAUGUGAUUGAGCCAUGGUUGUUUGGUUAUCAUAAUUGUACGUGGUUGAAUUAUAUAAAUUGCGCUAACCUGCAGAUGAAGGCUGAGGCGUGGUAAGUCUUCUGUGUGAUGUGGCUAGGCCACCCGGGGUGUAUUUUCUUUCUAAUAGGGGUUUAGGGGGUUGAACUUGCUGAGACAUCGUCUCAUCCCGGUUUUGGGAUUAAAAUUUCAGGUCCCCGGUGGACGGAGUGGCCAGAUAGCUUUGGUUGGCCUUGAGGAGUUGCAGAGGUGAAGUCAUAAGGGUUGGAGAGCGUGUCCUGCUAGUUGGUUGUAGGAUAGUUCCCCUUUUGUCGAGCUAGUCUAUUUUGUAGAAAGUCCAGUGUUGUAUUUAAACCCUUUGUGUUUGUAAAU